rnacentral:misc_RNA from 1 species
CUUGAGGCACUUCGGCCAAAGUUGCAGCCCUCGCCUCAUCAGCAAGUUCGUUCACGCCAACGAUCGGUCUAUGCUUCUGCAGAUAAUGAAGAUGGAGGUGCGGCUUCGGAUGAUACAAACACCACUGCCACCACUAAUACUGAUAAUGAAUAAUCAAACGAUGGUGCCUAUGAUGAUAGGGGUUUUAGAGCACUAGCUCCAAUUGUGAGGGGUUAUAGAGCACUAGCUCCAAUUGUGAUACCAUGUAAUGAAGUCUAUUUUCACUACUCUCGUGAGUAACUGGUGCAGUUGUAUUUGUAUUUGAUAUGAGUGG